GACGAACGCUGGCGGCGUGCUUAACACAUGCAAGUCGAACGAUGAAACCUAGCUUGCUAGGUCGAUUAGUGGCGAACGGGUGAGUAACACGUGACUAACCUGCCCCUUUCUCUGGGAUAACGCUCCGAAAGGAGUGCUAAUACCGGAUACUCACACCGAGGCACAUGCCUUGGUGUGGAAAGUUUUUCGGAAAGGGAUGGAGUCGCGGCCUAUCAGCUUGUUGGUGAGGUAACGGCUCACCAAGGCGACGACGGGUAGCCGGCCUGAGAGGGCGACCGGCCACACUGGGACUGAGACACGGCCCAGACUCCUACGGGAGGUAGCAGUGGGGAAUAUUGCACAAUGGGCGCAAGCCUGAUGCAGCGACGCCGCGUGAGGGAUGAAGGUCUUCGGAUUGUAAACCUCUUUCAGUAGGGACGAAGCGAAAGUGACGGUACCUAAGGAAGAAGCACCGGCUAACUACGUGCCAGCCGCCGCCGUAA
rnacentral:rRNA from 1 species